rnacentral:rRNA from 1 species
UGGUUGUCCCGGGGUAAGGGUGUAGCCCGGUGUGCAGGUAAAUCCGUGCGCCGUUACAGGGGUGAGACCUGAUGCCGAGCCGUUUGUGGUGAAGUGGGUGAUCCUGUGCUGUCGAGAAAAGCCUCUAGCGAGUUGUGUGGCGGCCCGUACCCUAAACCGACUCAGGUGGUCUGGUAGAGAAUACCGAGGCGUUCGGGUGAACUAUGGUUAAGGAACUCGGCAAAAUGCCCCCGUAACUUCGGGAGAAGGGGGGCCUCCUCUGGUGAUCCAGCGUGCUUGGUGAGCUGGGGGUGGCCGCAGAGACCAGCGAGAAGCGACUGUUUACUAAAAACACAGGUCCGUGCGAAGCCGUAAGGCGAUGUAUACGGACUGACGCCUGCCCGGUGCUGGAACGUUAAGGGGACCGGUUAGCUCCAUUUCGGUGGGGUGAAGCUGAGAACUUAAGCGCCAGUAAACGGCGGUGGUAACUAUAACCAUCCUAAGGUAGCGAAAUUCCUUGUCGGGUAAGUUCCGACCUGCACGAAUGGCGUAACGACUUCUUGACUGUCUCAACCAUAGGCCCGGUGAAAUUGCAGUACGAGUAAAGAUGCUCGUUUCGCGCAGCAGGACGGAAAGACCCCGGGACCUUUACUACAGCUUGAUAUUGGUGUUCGGUUCGGCUUGUGUAGGAUAGGUGGGAGACUGUGAAGCGGGCACGCCAGUGUUCGUGGAGUCGUUGUUGAAAUACCACUCUGGUCGUGCUGGAUGUCUAACCUGGGUCCGUGAUCCGGAUCGGGGACAGUGUCUGGUGGGUAGUUUAACUGGGGCGGUUGCCUCCUAAAGGGUAACGGAGGCGCCCAAAGGUUCCCUCGGGGCUGGAGUCGGUCCCAAGGGUUGGGCUGUUCGCCCAUUAAAGCGGUACGCGAGCUGGGUUUAGAACGUCGUGAGACAGUUCGGUCCCUAUCCGCUGCGCGCGUUGGAGUCUUGAGAAGGGCUGUCCCUAGUACGAGAGGACCGGGACGGACGGACCUCUGGUGUGCCAGUUGUUCUGCCAAGGGCAUGGCUGGUUGGCUACGUUCGGGAAGGAUAACCGCUGAAAGCAUCUAAGCGGGAAGCCUGCUUCGAGAUGAGGACUCCCGCCCCCUUUGAGGGGUUAAGGCUCCCUGGAGAUGACGGGGUUGAUAGGCCGGAUCUGGAAGCACGGUAACGUGUGGAGGUGACCGGUACUAAUAGGCCGAGGGCUUGUCCGUA